GCCUGGUGGAGAACAUCUUCCCGCCGGCGCUGACCAUCGGCUGGACGCUGGCCGGAGCCGCGGUCACUCGCGGGGUCACUUCGGGUCCCUUCGUCCCCGACGCCGACCUCACCUUCGUCCGCUUUUCCCGAAUUUCCGUCACCCCCCGGCCCGGGGACGUCGUCGCCUGCGUGGUCACCUCGGACGGGGACAACGCCACCGUGGUGGCCUACUGGGUGGCUCCGGACGCGGCGCUGGACGAGCAGCUGGACACGGCGCUGGCCGGAGCCGCGCUGGCCUUGGGGCUGAUCCUGGCCCUGCUGGGGGCCGGCCUGGCCCUGCUGGCCCGCAGGGACCCGCACGGCUGAGCUCAUCCCGGUGGGAAUCUGGGAGUUAAACCCCGCCUGUCCGAAAUAAAUCCAGGCUUUGGCAGAGUCCGUGUCCUUCUUUGUCGCAGGCCUGGCUUUAGGCCUGGUUUUAGUCCUGAUCCUGAUCCCGAUCCAAGUCCCUGUCCAGGUUCUGGUCCUGGUUUUAGUCCUGAUCCUGGUCCUGGUUUUAGUCCUGA